GUGCUCUCUUUAGAUAAUUGUUUUGGAUCACAAGUACAGUAAAAGCUGUGUUAUCCGGCACUUUAUCAACCAGAAAGCUCUAUUAACUGACAUUUCUGAUAUCUCCCAAUACAAAUCUUCAGUCUAGUAACCGGGACUAGUAUACUGCCCAGGAGGUUAUGCAAUUGAACAUUCUGCACUCUAGUUUUAUGCAAAAGAGGCAGAAGACAAGUAAGCAAGCUCAUA